rnacentral:rRNA from 1 species
AAUAGAUACCCUGGUAGUCCACGCCCUAAACGAUGACGACUGGAUGUCGGAGGGGUCUGCCUUUCGGUGUCGUAGCUAACGCGUUAAGUCGUCCGCCUGGGGAGUACGGCCGCAAAGUUGAAACUCAAAGGAAUUGACGGGGACCCGCACAAGCGGUGGAGCAUGUGGUUCAAUUCGAUGCAACGCGAAGAACCUUACCUGGCCUUGACAUCCGCGGAACUCGGCAGAAAUGCCUUGGUGCCUUCGGGAAUCGCGAGACAGGUGCUGCAUGGCUGUCGUCAGCUCGUGUCGUGAGGUGUUGGGUUAAGUCCCGCAACGAGCGCAACCCUGUCGUGUGUUGGAUUUCUCACACGAGACUGCCCGGAGCAACCGGGAGGAAGGCGGGGAUGACGUCAAGUCAGCAUGGCUCUUACGUCCUGGGCUACUCGCACGCUACAAUGGGCAGUACAGACCGUUGCGAUACCGCGAGGUGGAGCUAAUCGGACAAAACUGUCCUCAGUACGGAUUGCAGG